rnacentral:lncRNA from 1 species
AAUAAUGUAAUUAAUAUCAUUUGAAAUAUAACGAUAUCUAAUUGUUCAUAGUAAACGAAAUUAGUAAUAAAUACACUAUUAAGUGUAAAUAUAUCUUCUUUUUUGGGGCAACACUUUAUCUAGAGGUAAAUUCAGAUCAACAACAGAAAAGAAAAACUAAAACGAGGGUUUAUGCCUCACAAGUACCAGCAUUAAUUCACUCAGAUAAUACGUAUUAGAACAAUUACAAAAGCAAAUUAAAGAACAAGUUAUCGGACCAGUAGUGCUCGAUUCCCCUUUGCAUAACGAAUGGAUCGACCAUAUCAUGCUGUUAACUUGGACAAACCUUUUGAACCUCUCUGAACAUCGUGUAGGCUGCUGACUUCCUCUGAAAGCAGAAGGUAGGGUUGAUAACUUUCCCAACCAUAUUGGCCCUCCAAAGAUCAAAUCUUGAACUUUAAGGUUUUCUUCAAGUCGAGAGUGAUGAUCUCAAACAUAAAUAACAUUCACUUGUGAUAAAGUGGGAGAUGUGAGAGGUUGGAUAUCUCUCUCCAUAGACUAUAU